GACCCACGGGGCGCAGCAGUCGGGAAUAUUGCGCAAUGGAGGAAACUCUGACGCAGUGACGCCGCGUGCAGGAAGAAGGUUUUCGGAUUGUAAACUGCUUUAGACAGGGAAGAUACAAGACAGUACCUAUAAAAUAAGCAUCGGCUAACUCCGUGCCAGCAGCCGCGGUAAUACGGAGGAUGCGAGCGUUAUCCGGAUUUAUUGGGUUUAAAGGGUGCGCAGGCGGAGGUGCAAGUCAGCGGUCAAAUUGCGGGGCUCAACCCCGUACUGCCGUUGAAACUGCAUCCCUUGAGUGCGCGAGAAGG
rnacentral:rRNA from 1 species